GGAAGGGCUGUAACUCAGUGGUAGAGCAUCUGCUUUGCAUGGAGAAGAUCCUGGGUUCAGUCCCCUGUAUCUCCU